AGCUUUCUGGCAGAAAAAGUGCGUUAAUUUUAGAAAUUAAGUAUAAGAGAUUCUUGUAAGCUA
rnacentral:tRNA from 1 species